UACAGAGGUCUCAAGCGUUUGUUCGGAUUCAUUGGGCGUAAAGGGUGCGUAGGCGGCGCGGUAAGUCGGGUGUGAAAUCUCGGAGCUUAACUCCGAAACUGCAUUCGAUACUGCCGUGCUUGAGGACUGGAGAGGAGACUGGAAUUUACGGUGUAGCGGUGAAAUGCGUAGAUAUCGUAAGGAAGACCAGUGGCGAAGGCGGGUCUCUGGACAGUUCCUGACGCUGAAGCACGAAGGCCCAGGGGGAGCAAACGGG
rnacentral:rRNA from 1 species